AUUGAACGCUGGCGGCGUGCUUAACACAUGCAAGUCGAGCGGCAGCGCGGGAGCAAUCCUGGCGGCGAGCGGCGAACGGGUGAGUAAUGCUUCGGAAUCUGCCCUUCAGUGGGGAAUAACCAGUCGAAAGACUGGCUAAUACCGCAUACGAACUGAGGUUGAAAGCAGGGGAUCGCAAGACCUUGCGCUGAUGGAUGAGCCGAAGUCGGAUUAGCUUGUUGGUGGGGUAAUGGCCUACCAAGGCGACGAUCCGUAGCUGGUCUGAGAGGACGACCAGCCACACUGGAACUGAGACACGGUCCAGACUCCUACGGGAGGCAGCAGUGGGGAAUAUUGGACAAUGGGCGAAAGCCUGAUCCAGCCAUGCCGCGUGAGUGAUGAAGGCCUUAGGGUUGUAAAGCUCUUUGUGAGGGAAGAUGAUGACGGUACCUCAAGAAUAAGCACCGGCUAACUUCGUGCCAGCAGCCGCGGUAAAG
rnacentral:rRNA from 1 species